UACGAGGGGGGCAAGCGUUGUUCGGAAUUAUUGGGCGUAAAGGGCGCGUAGGCGGUGCGGUAAGUCACCUGUGAAAACUCUGGGCUCAACUCAGAGCCUGCAGGCGAAACUGCCGUGCUUGAGUGUGGGAGAGGUGCGUGGAAUUCCCGGUGUAGCGGUGAAAUGCGUAGAUAUCAGGAGGAACACCGGUGGCGAAGGCGGGUCUCUGGGCAACAACUGACGCUGAGGAGCGAAAGCGUGGGGAGCGAACAGG
rnacentral:rRNA from 1 species